CCUACGGGUGGCAGCAGUCGAGAAUCAUUCACAAUGGGGGAAACCCUGAUGGUGCGACGCCGCGUGGGGGAAUGAAGGUCUUCGGAUUGUAAACCCCUGUCAUGUGGGAGCAAAUUAAAAAGAUAGUACCACAAGAGGAAGAGACGGCUAACUCUGUGCCAGCAGCCGCGGUAAUACAGAGGUCUCAAGCGUUGUUCGGAAUCACUGGGCGUAAAGCGUGCGUAGGCUGUUUCGUAAGUCGUGUGUGAAAGGCGCGGGCUCAACCCGCGGAAGGCACAUGAUAAUGCGAGACUAGAGUAAGGGAGGGGGAACCGGAAGUCUCGGUGUAGCAGUGAAAUGCGUAGAUAUCGAGAGGAACACUCGUGGCGAAGGCGGGUUCCUGGACAUUAACUGACGCUGGGGCACGAAGGCCAGGGGAGCGAAAGGGAUUAGAUACCCUAGUAGUC
rnacentral:rRNA from 1 species